GGAAACUGCGAGUAAUGCCCAAUAAUCCCUACGGGGCAAAGGUCCGCCGCAGGAGGAGCGGCCGAUGUGAUACCAGCUAGUUGGUGAGGUAAUGGCUCACCAAGGCUUAGACGUCUAGGGGGUGUGAGAGCAUGGCCCCCACCACUGGGACUGAGAUACUGCCCAGACACCUACGGGUGGCUGCAGUCGAGAAUCUUCGGCAAUGGGCGCAAGCCUGACCGAGCAACGCCGCGUGCGGGAUGAAGGCCCUUGGGUUGUAAACCGCUGUCAGGGGGGAUGAAAGCGCAAGCUUGACAGAGCCCCAGAGGAAGCACGGGCUAAGUUCGUG
rnacentral:rRNA from 1 species